rnacentral:rRNA from 1 species
AAGUAAGAUCCCUGAAAGAUGAUCAGGUUGAUAGGUCUGAGGUGGAAGUGUGGCGACACAUGGAGCUGACAGAUACUAAUCGAUCGAGGACUUAACCA